rnacentral:rRNA from 1 species
AAAGAGGAGUGGCGAACGGGUGAGUAACACGUGGGUAACCUGCCCAUCAGAAGGGGAUAACACUUGGAAACAGGUGCUAAUACCGUAUAACAAUCGAAACCGCAUGGUUUUGAUUUGAAAGGCGCUUUCGGGUGUCGCUGAUGGAUGGACCCGCGGUGCAUUAGCUAGUUGGUGAGGUAACGGCUCACCAAGGCCACGAUGCAUAGCCGACCUGAGAGGGUGAUCGGCCACAUUGGGACUGAGACACGGCCCAAACUCCUACGGGAGGCAGCAGUAGGGAAUCUUCGGCAAUGGACGAAAGUCUGACCGAGCAACGCCGCGUGAGUGAAGAAGGUUUUCGGAUCGUAAAACUCUGUUGUUAGAGAAGAACAAGGAUGAGAGUAACUGUUCAUCCCUUGACGG